rnacentral:rRNA from 1 species
GACGAACGCUGGCGGCGUGCUUAACACAUGCAAGUCGAACGGAAAGGCCCUGCUUUUGUGGGGUGCGCGAAUGGCGAACGGGUGAGUAACAAGUGAGUAACCUGCUCUCGACUUUGGGAUAAUUUCAGGAAACUGGGGCUGAUACCGGCUAGGAGCUUCUGCUGCACGGAGGGGGGUGGCAAGUUUCGGCGGUUGGGGAUGGACUCCCGGCUUAUCAGCUUGUUGGUGGGGUAGUGGCUUACCCAGGCUUUGACGGGUAGCCGGCCUUAGAGGGGGGCCGGCCACAUUGGGACUGAGAUACGGCCCAGACGCGUACGGGAGGCAGCAGUGGGGAGUAUUGCACAGUGAGCGGAAGCCUGAGACAGCAACGCCGCGUGCGGGAAGACGGCCUUCGGGUUGUAAACCGCUUUCGCCUGUGACGAAGCGUGAGUGACGGUAAUGGGUAAAGAAGCACCGGCUAACUACGUG